rnacentral:sRNA from 1 species
ACCAUAUAUCACUUCAAAAUUUAUGCUAUUGUAGUAUUGUUUAUAGAAAAACGGAAAAAUAAAAAUCAUUACAAAUAAACGCGGCAAUGAAACAGAAAAAAUAAAAACCAUUAAAAAUAAUCGCGGCAAAUUUAAAUAACGGCUAUCGAAAUAAUGAAAAUU